rnacentral:tRNA from 1 species
GGGGUUGUGGCUAAGUGGUAGAGCACUGGCCUGGCAUGUGAGAAGCCCUGGGUUUGAUCCUCAGCACCA